rnacentral:rRNA from 1 species
GGGAAUAUUGGGCAAUGGGCGCAAGCCUGACCCAGCAACGCCGCGUGAAGGAAGAAGGCUUUCGGGUUGUAAACUUCUUUUGACAGGGAAGAGCAGAAGACGGUACCUGUCGAAUAAGCCACGGCUAACUACGUGCCAGCAGCCGCGGUAAUACGUAGGUGGCAAGCGUUGUCCGGAUUUACUGGGUGUAAAGGGCGUGUAGCCGGGCUGACAAGUCAGAUGUGAAAUCCGGGGGCUCAACCCCCGAACUGCAUUUGAAACUGUUGGUCUUGAGUAUCGGAGAGGCAGGCGGAAUUCCUAGUGUAGCGGUGAAAUGCGUAGAUAUUAGGAGGAACACCAGUGGCGAAGGCGGCCUGCUGGACGACAACUGACGGUGAGGCGCGAAAGCGUGGGGAGCAAAC